rnacentral:rRNA from 1 species
CCUACGGGAGGCAGCAGUGGGGAAUCUUGCGUAAUGGGCGAAAGCCUGACGCAGCCAUGCCGCGUGAAUGAUGAAGGUCUUAGGAUUGUAAAAUUCUUUCACCGGGGACGAUAAUGACGGUACCCGGAGAAGAAGCCCCGGCUAACUUCGUGCCAGCAGCCGCGGUAAU